GACAAAUCGUAAGUCCACACAUAGUUCAAAAUCCCGUGGAGUAAAGUGUAUACAGAACAUCACCGUGAAAAGUGCCACGUAGUCCAUGCAAGUGAGACUUAAAACUUUAAAUUAGUGAGAAAGGACACGUGAAAACAACCAGACAGAGGUGUAUGUCUACCAAGUGACAGUCAAAUCCAAUUCCACGAGGACCUAUAUCAAAUAUUACGAUUGUCACAAUUUUACUCCCCCUAACUGUAUGAUUCCAUAUUUCUUCCCUUUUUUUUUUUCAACAAAAGAACUUAAGUGCAAUGCUAUCCCCAUUAGGCGACAUAAAUGACCCCAGUAACGAACUUUGGGCCGGUAACUCCCAAGUCAGAUGACCAUAGGGCACCAGGUUAGAAACCCCUUAGGCUUAAUUGUUCGAGUCAAAUAGGCCCCGAAGACAGUCAUAAGUUCAACAAAAUAAAAGUGGGGUAAGAUAAUAUGAUUAGGUGACACUAGUCCCAGAUCAAGUCAAAUGGACACAUAACCCCAAUCACAGAAGAACACCAUCCCAAGUCUCACACAUGUGGUCAAGACUCACUCACAGGACUACAGUGUGUGCUGUGCAAAAAUGAAUGACGAGCCAUAUACUCAGAACUUCACAGGCAAAGAGAACGAUGAUGGAACCUCAGACUUGUACAUAUGAUGAAAAAUAGAGUUUGAUCUUUAAUGCAAAAGCUAUUAUUGUCACAUAAAAGGCACACACAAAAAAAA
rnacentral:lncRNA from 1 species